rnacentral:lncRNA from 1 species
GAAAGAGUCAAAAAUAUUCCAAUUUCUGUCUCAAAAAGUUGUUGUCUGAAUGAGACACCUAGAACUGUGGCAGCAAUUUCAAGAUCAUGAGGAAAGGCAGGAAUACCUACAUGGGAACACAGCAUGCUGAGAAUUGGAGAGCAAAAAGAUGAAGGACUUGAUGGAUUUGUGGGUUACCCAGCCCUGGAACUCCCUGAAACUCUGAAGUUCUUCAGGGGGUAGCAAAUGUCUUUAAUGCUUGAGCCCUUUUUAAUUAGGCUUUCCAUUACCUGCAGCUGAGAGCAUCCUAAUUGAUUCAAAAGAAAGCUCUUGUAUUGGUCAGCUCAGGCGGCCAUAACAAAGUACUAUAGACUGGGUGACUUAAACAACAGAAAUCUGUUUCCCACAAUUCUUGAGGAUGAAAGUUGGAGCUCGGGUUCUGGAACUGAACCCGGGCUGCUGAGAUGGAGCACUCCAAACUUAACCACCAGGCCACAGGGCCGGCCUCCAACUCUUUUAAUCUGUUAAAGGAUGUCCAUCAAAAAUCCACAAAACUCAAUAUGCGUGGUUUUUAAAGAAAGUCGACCAUGGAAACUACACUGAGAAUGGUAAGAUUGAUAUUCCCAAUCCCUUCCAAAACUUGGAGCCUUCUCCUUUUCCAUGCCAACCCACACGACGCAAAGAAAUGGAGUAGCAUUCCGAGAAAAGGAGUUGGGAGAAUGGAGAAGAGGAAAAGGUGAAAGUGAGGUGGUCUCACGUAUGGUCACAGAAAGAGCAAUCAAUCAAUCAAUCAAUCAUAAAAAUAACUCUGGGAGUCUCAAUUUUGACCAAAAAAUCUAUGAUUUUUGUCAAUGCGAAUUUGAUUUGCCUGAAGUGUUGUUUCCUCAAAAUGGGCCAGAACAAAGCUUGCCCUUGCUGAACAGCUGCUGUCUCUGUCCCCGAGACCAUGAACAACAGACAAGACCGGACAGAGGCACUUGCUGAGGGAACCUACAAACUACAGUGACCUUCCCAGGACAGUGGGUCUACAAAGGUGACCUCUAUAAGGAGUUUCACUCCCCCAAGCCUGAACUACUUUGCUUUUCUUCCUGAAAGAGACCCCCUAUCCAUGGGUUAACUGUCUUGUGAUUCAAAACUGCUUCCAGAGCAAUUGUGUCUCAGUGUGUCAUAUGAAAGGGGUGCGUGCUUUUCCCCAAGAAAUGGGCAGUAAAUUAAGAAGUGGGCAUCUCUUGAGAUAUCUCUGAAAUAAAGAAGGUUUCUAAAUGGAGGAAACUGGGUAUAGGCGGCUGGGGAAGAUUUAACCUCCUCUUUUUCUUACCAGUUUUCUCUCUUCUUCUUUUUACCUCCUUGGUUCUCCCACAACACUCUUGGAG